CUCCCCUCCCCCCUCUUCCUCCCCCAGUUAUUAUAUCCCAGUUCUCUGAUUCUGUGAUUUUGAUUUCUCAAUUUGUGUUUUUUCAGAUCUGAGAUAGAAAAGAAGAGAAAUAAUCUUGUGGAAUUUCAUAUCUGAGAAAAGAAGAGAAAGAUUCUUGUGGAAGAGCAGCUUGACAAAAAAGAAAGGGGUGAAUCAUCUCUUUCUCCCAUUCAUGUUUGCUUCUGCAUUUUCAUUUUUAUGUUAUAUAUGGUUUGCUCAAACCCUAUUUAUAUUCAACUUCUUCGAACCAUCUAUUUUUCUUGCACUAGAAUAUUGCAAAGGGAAAAUUUAUUUACAAAGCUUGUCAUUUUGAUCUUGUGUAGGCGGCACAACUGUACACCACCAUGAACAGGUUGUUUCAUCGCUACAACUCAUAUAGCAAGCUAUGCCAGUAUGGCAAUAUCUGAUAGUACGGCUGCUCACGUUUCCAGGGGCAACACUCACAUUUCCCCUCCAAAAUUCAACAUUUUCAUAUUUUGAGGAGCUUCAGUACGUUUGCUCACCGAUGAACUAGAAGUUGUUUUGUGUACUGCAUGAUUGAGGAAGUGCUAUUGCAGAUCAAAGGUGAGCCUAUUCUAUUUUCUUUCUUCAAGCUCAGGUGAAGGUUUAUCUCCUCUUCACUAAUGUUAAAUCUUUAUCACCGCAUUGAUUAGUUGGUAGAAGCAUCUGCUGGGAAUCAAGUGUUACAUGGCUGUGGGUGACAAGGUAUGCUAAGGCCAUCUGCUUUAUUGUGACUUAAGAGACUACAAUACUCUAGGGUAUCCUAAGGUUUUAUUUCAAUUAUACGAUGAGCAUGGGUCCCAUAACAUACUCAAAUAGUUAGAAAUCUGAAGCACCUCGUAAUUUGUUCGCUAGCAGUAUGAAUCAGAGCUGGGUACUUUUAGCUGUUGUGGGAUGAGAAUAUACAUAUAAUUGUUGGUGCUUUUGUGUUCAUUUAUACUAAGAAGACUAGGCCCGUCAGGGUAUGAUUUACCUGGGUUUUUUGGAUUUUUUACUGCCUCUAAUGAUUUACGCGUGUUACCAGGGACGCACGAGAACUACUUACGUGUGAACGUAACGAUCUUCUCUGUUCUCUCUAGAGCGUUCAUGACCUCCACCUCUUUGACCGCCCACCGCUUUGACCGGGCUAUCUCUGUCUCUCCCAAAAAUUCUGGUUCAAUCCCGUGUCGUGGCUCUACCGAUCUAUGUGCGUAUAAAAAGCCCCCCGUGGCGUGGGUCUCUCCAGUCACGGCUGUGCCCAAACCGCUCCUCACCAAUAGACCCAUCUCUCCUGAUACUGCCCUCCAGCCUCCACCCGAGAUACCACGGCGCGCUACGUCGCCGCUCCGGCUGGCCGGCCGAGAGGUGCGUGCAGGCAACAACAUGAAUCAGGAGAGCUGCAUACCAUCGCCUCCUCAUGGAUCUUCCUCGGUUCCGGCUCCCUGGCCUGAAGGCACAGACAAACAGCGGUGGCCUUUGUGUGGUCCAAGGGGGCAAACCUGCAGCUGGUGGCGAAUAGCUCGCUGCCCUGCUGCUCUCCAUCCUAAUCGGCUCCCCUCAUCCUUCCCCAGGUUCGCUCCGGCUGCCGGUCCCCUUCAUCUACCCCAUGGCCGAUGUUAAAGAAAUAAACACAUGAUGUGCUGAAUAGCUGACAUACAGAGGAAAUGCUACAGCUUGAUGAUUGUUGCAGAACUACAUCAUUUUUAGGUAUUUAGUGUUCCUUUUGUGAUAGUUUUCUCUCCUAUAAAAGUAAAAUGAAUCAUUUUUAAUUCUUUGAACAAGGUUGCCAAAAGUAGGGCGCUCAGCCGUUGAGGCAUUAUCACAUUUUUAAGAAGCUUCGCAAAAUCUGCUCUUAUACUAAAGAAAUCUAAUGUAGGUUUGUUGGCCUUAUUGGGUACUGAUAUGCUGAACACAUGAUAUUAAAUAUACAGUGAAGUGGGUAUGUUUAUACUAUCUACACAGGAUUGCCAUUUUCUUGAACUGUUGUUGGGAUUAUCAUGGAUUGGGAUGCAUUAUGAUAAUAAGAUAUUAGGUAUUGAUAUAUGAUCUGUAUGUCACACUUGACUUCAUCAUCCUUUGUUUUCAGAUCUAUUCUUUAGGCAUACACUAAUGUGGUAGCUUGGGUCAUAUUCUGUAGCUAAUUUAGUCACCACAAUACUCGGGUCCCCCCCUCCCGACUUUCAAUAUAAAGAACUUCCACUUGCCAUUUCACAUGAUAAACACUACAUUCUAUUUAUUUAUGGCCCAAAACUUAUUAUUUGUGGAUAGCCACAACUGAGGUCUUGAGUUUUUGAGUAUCAUAGAAGAACCACGUUCCUUUCGCAGCGAUAGAUCAACAUUUGACCCUUUUUUAGCUAUUAUAGGAAGACUAAGAUGCACAAAAUCAACCUGUGUUAGGCCAAUGGUCCUUUCCAAAUGUGAAAUCUUGCAUGCGUUAUUUAUCAAUUCCAAAAGGUGAUGGUUGUGUUAUUACGUUGGAAAAGAGGUACUUGUACAGUUUUGCUACUGAUUUUGACCAAGGNNNNNNNNNNNNGAACUUCCACUUGCCAUUUCACAUGGUAAACACUACAUUCUAUUUAUUUAUGGCCCAGAACUUAUUAUUUGUGGAUAGCCACAACUGAGGUCUUGAGUUUUUGAGUAUCAUAGAAGAACCACGUUCCUUUCGCAGCGAUAGAUCAACAUUUGACCCUUUUUUAGCUAUUAUAGGAAGACUAAGAUGCACAAAAUCAACCAUUGUUAGGCCAAUGGUCCUUUCCAAAUGUGAAAUCUUGCAUGCGUUAUUUAUCAAUUCCAAAAGGUGAUGGUUGUGUUAUUACGUUGGAAAAGAGGUACUUGUACAGUUUUGCUACUGAUUUUGACCAAAGGUUUUUCGGCUCUCAUCUCUAUAUGAAUAUGCUUUUUUCAGGUUAGUGGUUUAGGAGUUCCUGCCAACACUGGCUUUUGGAAUUUAUCCUCGCUUCAUCAGUUGGGAUUUCUGUACAAAACUAAGAUAAUUUAUUUUGGUGCUUGCGAUGAGUAUUAGAUAGAGGGGUGAUGCACACAUACUUCACCCAGUGUAUCUGUUCAUGUAUGUUGUUAAUUGACUAAUUAGACAAAAAACCUCUAUCUGUAUGGUGUUUGUGAUGAUGCUAUCAAUUCACCAAACACUAAAAUACCGGGUUGUGCUUUUCAAAUCUAGCAAAUUAAUUCUCUAUUGCUUCUUGUCCAAACAGAGGUAUUAGAUCUAUUCUGUGCCAUGAGUCUUACUGUCAAAAAAUUAUAUAAGCCGCGCUAGAUGAUUAUAGGUAGCUCAUAUCAAGAACUUUGUUUUAGCAGCACAAUUCGGAUAAAUUUGCACUUUUUCACCAACGAACAAGGUGUUACAUACCAGAUCAAAG
rnacentral:lncRNA from 1 species